GAUGAAGAACGUAGCGAAAUGUGAUAAGUAAUGCGAAUUGCAGAAUCCGUGAGUCAUCGAAUCUUUGAACGCACAUUGCGCCCCUUGGUUAUUCCGAAGGGCAUGCCUGUUCGAGCGUCAUUAUCACCCCUCAAGCCCUGGCUUGGUGUUGGACUUUAGUUAUAGCUUUGCCUAUCAACUGGUCUCAAAGAUAGUGACGGCGCCCCAGAGGGAACCGGGUACGAGGAGCUUUUUACUAAGCAUGUAUCUGGGACGACUCUGAUGGGCGACGGUCUUGUUAUACUUUUUACCUAAGUGUUGACCUCGGAUCAGGUAGGAAUACCCGCUGAACUUAAGCAUAUCAAUAAGCGGAGGA
rnacentral:misc_RNA from 1 species